AGUAAAGUGGCGUACGGGUGAGUAACACGUGGAUAAUCUACCUCUUAGUGGGGAAUAACUCUGGGAAACCGGAGCUAAUACCGCAUAAGCCUGGAAAGGGAAAGCAGCAAUGCGCUGAGAGAGGAGUCCGCGGCCGAUUAGCUAGUUGGCAGGGUAAAAGCCUACCAAGGCAACGAUCGGUAGCCGGCCUGAGAGGGCACACGGCCACACUGGCACUGAAACACGGGCCAG
rnacentral:rRNA from 1 species